AGAGUUUGAUCAUGGCUCAGGAUGAACGCUGGCGGCAUGCCUAACACAUGCAAGUCGAACGAAGUUACCGGAGCAGCGGACUUAGGUUCAACGCACCGACUAACUUAGUGGCGGAUGGGUGAGUAACACGUGAGCAACCAACCUUUUACUCGGGAAUAACAUGGGGAAACCCAUGCUAAUACCUGAUAUUAUCAAGAAAUGGCAUCAUAAUUUGAUGAAAGAUUUAUCGGUAAAAGACGGGCUCGCGUCCGAUUAGCUAGUUGGUAAGGUAAUGGCUUACCAAGGCCACGAUCGGUAGCCGGACUGAGAGGUCGACCGGCCACAUUGGGACUGAGAACGGCCCAGACUCCUACGGGAGGCAGCAGUGGGGAAUAUUGGGCAAUGGACGCAAGUCUGACCCAGCGAUGCCGCGUGAAGGAUGGAAGGCCCUCGGGUUGUAAACUUCUUUAGACAGGGAAGAAAGAAAUGACAUUACCUGUAGAAUAAGCCACGGCUAACUACGUGCCAGCAGCCGCGGUAAUACGUAGGUGGCGAGCGUUAUCCGGAAUUACUGGGUGUAAAGGGCGCGUAGGCGGGUAUGCAAGUUGGAUGUGAAAUUCCGGGGCUUAACUCCGGAUUGUCAUCUAAAACUGUGUAUCUUGAGUGUCAGAGGGGAAAGUGGAAUUCCUAGUGGAGUGGUAAAAUGCGUAGAUAUUAGGAGGAACAUCGGUGGCGAAGGCGACUUUCUGGCUGACAACUGACGCUGAGGCGCGAAAGCGUGGGUAGCGAACAGGAUUAGAUACCCUGGUAGUCCACGCCGUAAACGCUGAUUACUAGGUGUAGGGGGUAUAGACUCCCUCUGUGCCGCAGUUAACGCAUUAAGUAAUCCACCUGGGGAGUACGGCCGCAAGGUUAAAACUCAAAGGAAUUGACGG
rnacentral:rRNA from 1 species